rfam:Loxodonta africana unplaced genomic scaffold scaffold_4, whole genome shotgun sequence.
GCACUGGUGGUUCAGUGGUAGAAUUCUCACCUUCCAUACCGGAGGCCUGGGUUUGAUUCCUGGCCAAUGCA